rnacentral:lncRNA from 1 species
CAAAGAAGGCCAUCCCAGAAAAAUCUGCCUAAUAAUGAAAAAAACCACCCUAUUCCAUAUAGUGCACAGAGAAAAGGCUGAGUGAGGACACAGCAAGAAGGCGGCCGUGCACACACCAGGAAGAGAGGCCUCACCUGAAACCAACCCUGAGGGCACCUGCAGGGCCUGCAGACCUGUAAAAAGACCUAUGUCUGUUUAAGCCACCCAGCUUGUGGCAUUUUGUUAUGCAGUCUGAGCAUAUUAAUACAGUUUAUUUUUUUCAGAGAUCCUCAAAGCUCGCAUUCCAACAUAACACAGGAGUGAAAGCACAGGCUUUGAAGUCAGAAAGGACUAAGUUCUCAACCUGGCUUCCCAUUCAGCAGGACCUUGGCUUUCAUCUCU